AUGUGGUAGUGCGUAUAAGGUUUUGGAUUGGAUAGGGAGCCUCUUUCGGAGUGAACCACAUCAUAAUGCAUCCUACAUAGCUGCCAUGGAUGAAUUACGGAGGUGGGGAGAGCAAGGAGGUUGCUGAUUUUUCGGGAAGCGGUGGCGAUCUGACAUGGAUUACGUGGGAUGAGAAAGAUCAAGCUCGACAAGAAGUUGUGAAUGUGAGGACAGGAGAGGAAGGUGUAGAUGACGGUGCGGGGGUGUACUUGCUGCUGGCACCUUAUGUGGCUCCUCUACCACCUUGAGUAGAAGGUCUGCACUGUUAACAAGCGUGUUGCUUGUUUCUUUCAUUUUGUGUAUGCAUACUUGGUUUCAUGGGCUCAAAUACUGUUUUGGUAGAAAAUUCUAUUUUUGUGAUGA